AUUGAACGCUGGCGGCAUGCCUUACACAUGCAAGUCGAACGGCAGCACGGGGAGCAAUCCUGGUGGCGAGUGGCGAACGGGUGAGUAAUACAUCGGAACGUGCCCAGUAGUGGGGGAUAACCCGUCGAAAGCCGGACUAAUACCGCAUACGACCUACGGGUGAAAGCAGGGGAUCGCAAGACCUUGCGCUAUCGGAGCGGCCGAUGUCAGAUUAGCUUGUUGGCGGGGAAAAGCCCACCAAGGCGACGAUCUGUAGCUGGUCUGAGAGGACGACCAGCCACACUGGGACUGAGACACGGCCCAGACUCCUACGGGAGGCAGCAGUGGGGAAUAUUGGACAAUGGGCGAAAGCCUGAUCCAGCCAUGCCGCGUGAGUGAUGAAGGCCUUAGGGUUGUAAAGCUCUUUCAGUAGGGAAGAUAAUGACGGUACCUACAGAAGAAG
rnacentral:rRNA from 1 species